AGUGACCUCAUAGGAGCUCAGAGAUCUACCCAGAAACCCUCUGGGUGACAUGUGUCCCCACUUAUUCUGGGAAGAAGGAAUCCCGCAAGAGGCAACAGCGUUCUGACUUGGUCCGUUUCUUCCGGUGUUACUACUGCACUGCAGUCUAGCGACAGUAAAGAGAAGGACGAACAGCGGAUAACAUCCUACUCAGAGACAGAAAUCAAGAAGCAAGGACAGGAAGAGAAAACAUCAUGGUGAGACUUGGACCAGGUCUUUCUCCCCAGCAAGGGGCUCUGGGGAAGGAGAAGUACUCCGUACUUACGGUCAUUUUCUUCUUGAAUUUGAAGAUUAACCAUAUCAACACAAUUCUGAAUUUCAUUCCAGCUUAAGCUAUCUUGUCCCUGUGAUGAGGCUUCCAGUUUAACAGAGAGUAGUGCAUUUGCAUAACUGUGGAAGAGAUUUAAAAAAUAGUUUGAUACCAAUCA